rnacentral:lncRNA from 1 species
UUUGGUUCAGCGUAUUGCUAAUACGCGUGUAUCCCGUUACUUUCCUAAUCGGUGAAAAGCACCGAUUUCUAUUCCCCCCUUUCUGCCCAGAUUAGAGGAUGCUACCCUAAACCCUCCCUCUUUUACCCCUAAUUGAUCCUCUUUGUUUCUCUUCUGUUUUCCACCUUCAUCCGAAUUGCUUCCUUAUUUCAUUGCUUUUAUUUUCC